GCCUCACCGUAUCAGCCAAUUCUCUCCCUUCUUGAUGCCGAUUCCAUAUGUGUCAAAAUCUAGCGUCAACACAUGCCCCCAGUUUCGGAGUAAAACAUAAUCUUUACUUUGAAAUUCUUUUCAACUUCCCUUCCGAAACAAAUGCAUUAAAAAUAUCCUUCCGUUUCGCGGUCUUCUACCUGAUGAUUGCAAUCUUUUUGAAAUGGGCACCCACGACAACCACUCCUCCCAAAAAACCCGAACCGCCGGCGCGGUAAAAAUCCCG
rnacentral:lncRNA from 1 species